CCCUUGGUCGUCUAGUUGGUUUAUGACGUCAGACUGUAAUUGGUCAAACAUUUCAGAUUAAUCUGGAUGUCACCGGUUCGAAUCCGGUCCGAGGGA